rnacentral:rRNA from 1 species
GACGAACGCUGGCGGCGUGCUUAACACAUGCAAGUCGAGCGGUAAGGCCCUUUCGGGGGUACACGAGCGGCGAACGGGUGAGUAACACGUGGGUGACCUGCCUUUAGCUCUGGGAUAAGCCUGGGAAACCGGGUCUAAUACCGGAUAUGACUCCGCGGCGCAUGUUGUGGGGUGGAAAGCCUCGUGCGGCUGGAGAUGGGCCCGCGGCCUAUCAGCUUGUUGGUGGGGUGAUGGCCUACCAAGGCGACGACGGGUAGCCGGCCUGAGAGGGCGACCGGCCACACUGGGACUGAGACACGGCCCAGACUCCUACGGGAGGCAGCAGUGGGGAAUCUUGCGCAAUGGGCGAAAGCCUGACGCAGCGACGCCGCGUGAGGGAUGACGGCC